UACGUAGGCAGCGAGCGUUGUUCGGAGUUACUGGGCGUAAAGCGUGCGUAGGCGGUGUCUUAAGUUUGUUGUGAAAUCUCCCGGCUUAACCGGGAGGGUGCGGCGAAUACUGAGAUGCUGGAGUGCCGGAGAGGUAAGCGGAAUUCCAGGUGUAGCGGUGAAAUGCGUAGAUAUCUGGAGGAACACCGGUGGCGAAGGCGGCAUCCUGGACCAAUUCUGACGCUGAGGAGCGAAAGCCAGGGGAGCAAACGGG
rnacentral:rRNA from 1 species